rnacentral:snoRNA from 1 species
UGAUAAUGAUGAGGACAAUUUUGAGCAUACCUUUGAAUCUUUCCUAAGCUUGGUAAAGAUUCUCUCCAUCUAUUUGCCUAUAACUUAGAAUCUCACUUCUCAAAUA